CAUUGUGCGUCAGCGGAACGAUCUGGAAAGUUCGGCCAUAGUGGGUGAUAGCCCCGUACGCGAAAGCAAACUUUGAAAUCUCGAGUAGGGCGGGACACGUGAAAUCCUGUCUGAACAUGGGGGGACCACCCUCCAAGCCUAAGUACUCCUUACCGACCGAUAGCGCACCAGUACCGUGAGGGAAAGGUGAAAAGCACCCCGACGAGGGGAGUG
rnacentral:rRNA from 1 species